rnacentral:rRNA from 1 species
UACGGGGGGGGCAAGCGUUGUUCGGAAUUACUGGGCGUAAAGGGCUCGUAGGCGGCCAACUAAGUCAGACGUGAAAUCCCUCGGCUUAACCGGGGAACUGCGUCUGAUACUGGAUGGCUUGAGGUUGGGAGAGGGGUGCGGAAUUCCAGGUGUAGCGGUGAAAUGCGUAGAUAUCUGGAGGAAUACCGGUGGCGAAGGCGGCAUCCUGGACCGGCAUUGACGCUGAGUGAGCGAAAGCUAGGGGAGCAAACGGG